rnacentral:tRNA from 1 species
GGUGACUGUAGCUCAACGGUAGAGCGUCCGCCUGUGAAGUGGAAGGCCGGGGGUUCAACUCCCCUCAGUCACCCCCA